CUUCCCAUUUAUUUGCUUCUAUAGUCUUUCAAUGACAUAAGCAGUUAUAUGCAUGGGAUAAAAUAAUGUUGGGCUAUACUAUACAAAAAAUAA
ensembl:snoRNA